GGGGCGCGAUUCACAUCUCAACCGAAAUAUUUGUAAAGCGAUACGAACGAGUUACGAGAUGAAAUCCGCAAUGUUUAAAAACGCGAUUCAUAGCACACAUACUUUGAUCUCGUUUUCAUAUCGCUAGUUCGUAUUUGGAUGGCUUGAGUGAAAUGAAUGAAACUAUAUUUUUUUUAAUUGCCAUGCAAAAAUUAUAAAUACUACCACUAAUUGUUUUAAAUAAUUUUGUUCCUACAAUAUAUUUUGUUGGAAUUAGUGUCGAUAGCAAGUAUCAAGAAACAGCUUUUUAAUUCAACGUUGAAGAAAUUCAUAACCUGUGGCACUUUUGACAGCCGCCAUGUUUUCUCCAUAAAAACAUUGAUUUUCUUUGCUCAUUUUCGUGUCAACGUAGUUUUUUUGGAAAAUAAGAAGAAAGGAAGUUUAACUUACUUAGAGAAAUACGACUGAGACAUAAACACAAGCAGCAGCCGAUGUGCUUGAGUAGCAGAAGGAGCAACUGCGUUGUGAGAGGGCCACGGCUUCAGCCCUCACAAUGAUAGCUGAUUAGCUGAAGUAAUGAACAGACAGGCUGCAGUCAAUGAGAGGCUUCUUGAGGAGGGGUUCCUCAUAUGGAAAAAGAUUUUAGCGGCGACGCAGUUGCGCGACCAGUGAAGCUCUGGCUCCGCGACCGGCGUGGAGCGCGCGGUCAGCGCGGCGCUGCUGCGGCUGCUGCGCGGGAGGAUCCCGUCCCUGCGCAUGCGCCUGGCCUUCAAUGACCUCACGCCUCUCUUCUUCCUCUUCUUCAUGCGUCAAUUCAAACAGAGGAGCACCUGUGAUUACUGAUUACCUAAGUUCCUAUAUACAAUAA